UACAACUUUCAGCGAUGGAUGUCUAGGCUCCCACAACGAUGAAGAACGCAGCGAAAUGCGAUACGUAAUGCGAAUUGCAGGACUUCGUGAAUCAUCAAAAUUUUGAACGCACAUUGCGCU
rnacentral:rRNA from 1 species